CUAACCAGGAUUCCCUCAGUAACGGCGAGUGAAGCGGGAUCAGCCCAGCACCGAAUCCCCCAGCAUCUAGCUGGCGGGAGCUGUGGUGUAUGGGACGUCAACUGUCGUCUGUACCGGUGGCCGAAGUCCUCCUGAUCGGGGCCUCUCCCAGAGCGGGUGUCAGGCCUUUGCUGGCUGCCGGUCGGUCGGCUGCGAGCGUCUCUCGAGUCGGGUUGUUUGGGAAUGCAGCCCAAAGUGGGUGGUAAACUCCAUCUAAGGCUAAAUACUGGCACGAGUCCGAUAGCGGACAAGUACCGUGAGGGAAAGUUGAAAA
rnacentral:rRNA from 1 species